rnacentral:rRNA from 1 species
GAUGAACGCUGGCGGCGUGCCUAAUACAUGCGAGUCGAGCGAACAGACGAGGAGCUUGCUCCUCUGACGUUAGCGGCGGACGGGUGAGUAACACGUGGAUAACCUACCUAUAAGACUGGGAUAACUUCGGGAAACCGGAGCUAAUACCGGAUAAUAUAUUGAACCGCAUGGUUCAAUAGUGAAGGACGGUUUUGCUGUCACUUAUAGAUGGAUCCGUGCCGCAUUAGCUAGUUGGUAAGGUAACGGCUUACCAAGGCAACGAUGCGUAGCCGACCUGAGAGGGUGAUCGGCCACACUGGAACUGAGACACGGUCCAGACUCCUACGGGAGGCAGCAGUAGGGAAUCUUCCGCAAUGGGCGAAAGCUUGACGGAGCAACGCCGCGUGAGUGAUGAAGGUCUUCGGAUCGUAAAACUCUGUUAUUAGGGAAGAACAAAUGUGUAAGUAACUAUGCACGUCUUGACGGUACCUAAUCAGAAAGCCACGGCUAACUACGUG